rnacentral:rRNA from 1 species
CCUACGGGAGACAGCAGUAGGGAAUCUUCCACAAUGGACGAAAGUCUGAUGGAGCAACGCCGCGUGAGUGAAGAAGGGUUUCGGCUUGUAAAGCUCUGUUGGUAGUGACGAAAGAUAGAGGUAGUAACUGGCCUGUAUUUGACGAUAAUUACUUAGCAAGUCCCGGCUAACUACGUGCCAGCAGCCGCGGUAAUACGUAGGUGGCAAGCGUUGUCCGGAUUUAUUGGGCGUAAAGCGAGUGAAGGCGGUUCGAUAAGUCUGAUGUGAAAGCUUUCGGCUCAACCGGUGAAUUGCAUCAGAAACUGUUGAACUUGAGUGCAGAAGAGGAGAGUGGAACUCCAUGUGUAGCGGUGGAAUGCGUAGAUAUAUGGAAGAACACCAGUGGCGAAGGCGGCUCUCUGGUCUGCAACUGACGCUGAGGCUCGAAAGCAUGGGUAGCGAACAGGAUUAGAUACCCUGGUAGUC